UACGGGGGGGGCAAGCGUUGUUCGGAAUUACUGGGCGUAAAGGGUUCGUAGGCGGCCAACUUAGUCAGACGUGAAAUCCCUCAGCUUAACUGGGGAACUGCGUCUGAUACUGGACGGCUUGAGUAUGGGAGAGGGAUGUAGAAUUCCAGGUGUAGCGGUGAAAUGCGUAGAUAUCUGGAGGAAUACCGGUGGCGAAGGCGGCAUCCUGGACCAUUACUGACGCUGAGGCGCGAAAGCUAGGGGAGCAAACGGG
rnacentral:rRNA from 1 species